rnacentral:rRNA from 1 species
UGCAUGUCUCAGUGCAAGCCGCAUUAAGGUGAAACCGCGAAUGGCUCAUUAAAUCAGUUAUGGUUCCUUAGAUGGUGGACAGUUACUUGGAUAACUGUGGUAAUUCUAGAGCUAAUACAUGCAACUCGGUCCCGACCGGAGACGGAAGGGACGCUUUUAUUAGAUCAAAACCAAUCGGUCCUMGCGGCCGUUUGCCUUGGUGACUCUGAAUAAAUUGUGGCAGAUCGCACGGUCUCCGUACCGGCGACGCAUCUUUCAAAUGUCUGCCUUAUCAACUGUCGAUGGUAGGUUCUGCGCCUACCAUGGUUGUAACGGGUAACGGGGAAUCAGGGUUCGAUUCCGGAGAGGGAGCCUGAGAAACGGCUACCACAUCCAAGGAAGGCAGCAGGCGCGCAAAUUACCCACUCCCGGCACGGGGAGGUAGUGACGAAAAAUAACGAUACGGGACUCAUCCGAGGCCCCGUAAUCGGAAUGAGCACACUUUAAAUCCUUUAACGAGUAUCCAUUGGAGGGCAAGUCUGGUGCCAGCAGCCGCGGUAAUUCCAGCUCCAAUAGCGUAUAUUAAAGUUGUUGCGGUUAAAAAGCUCGUAGUCGGACUUGUGUCCCACGCUGCCGGUUCACCGCCCGUCGGUGUCUAACUGGCAUGCACGUGCGGACGUCCUGCCGGUGGCCCGAUUCCGGCCCGUUUUUCCCGGGGUGCGGAAACGUACCCCCGGGGGCCGGUGUCUGGAUAGGGCCUACUCAUACCCGUCGCGGUGCUCUUAACUGAGUGUCUCGAUGGGCCGGCACGUUUACUUUGAACAAAUUAGAGUGCUUAAAGCAGGCAGCAGCCGCCUGAAUACCGAGUGCAUGGAAUAAUGGAAUAGGACCUCGGUUCUAUUUUGUUGGUUUUCGGAAUCCCCGAGGUAAUGAUCAAUAGGGACAGACGGGGGCAUUCGUAUUGCGACGUUAGAGGUGAAAUUCUUGGAUCGUCGCAAGACGGACCGAAGCGAAAGCAUUUGCCAAGAAUGUUUUCUCUGAUCAAGAACGAAAGUUAGAGGUUCGAAGGCGAUCAGAUACCGCCCUAGUUCUAACCAUAAACGAUGCCAGCCAGCAAUCCGCCGAAGUUCCUCCGAUGACUCGGCGGGCGGCUUCCGGGAAACCAAAGCUUUUGGGUUCCGGGGGAAGUAUGGUUGCAAAGCUGAAACUUAAAGGAAUUGACGGAAGGGCACCACCAGGAGUGGAGCCUGCGGCUUAAUUUGACUCAACACGGGAA